UGCUCCGUCCGAGAUAACGAAACUGAGUGUUCUGCUGUCAAACUAUGGGUUGCUUAAUUUGCACCGGGUGUGCCUGUUCAAACUCAGCCACAAAAGUUAUGUAGUACACCCUCAAUUACUUAUUCAACACGAAAUCAAGUUCAAAAUAAUAAUCCAAGAACCUGGGAAUUUAAUUUUUCUUGCCCCUAAUGCUGCACACACAGGUGGCAAUAUGGGUGUCAUUUUCUUGUUUCCUCUAAAAGUGCUCAUGCGCUUCUCCAUUUUACUAUGAUUAGAGUACUUGUGAAGUAUAUUUUUUUUGUAUUAUUUUUAGGGAGUACAAGGUGCACAUGGAUAUCACACCACUCUUUAAAAUGCAUUGCAAGGAUCUGCUUAAAUAUCAUGUAAAUAAAACAAUGGCAGAAAAUUUCAAUGACCCUCAUUUUAAAAGAUCAAUUAUUGCUGUGAAUUCUGAGAAUUUUCAGAGACCAGCACCUUUAUCUAUUGAGGCAUCAGGUACUACUUCUUCCAAGAACACUACAGUGAUUGUGAAAAAAGAACGUGUGGCAUGCCCUGUGCAGCAGGAGGGGUGUUUCAAAACCUACCAGAGCCCUGUAAGAAGAGAAACCCUAAUGACUCACAUCCAACAAGAACACAGUAAAUAUUCAACAGAUGUGAGCAUUUUAAAGGCAGUUGACAGUCUUUGCUGCACUUAAAAGAUAAGUACUGGUCAGCGUUAUGAAUGCAGUAAUUGUGGAGCCAAUAUAAGUGUCAAUAGCAGCAGGCAUAAGGGGAGUAAAGCAUGCAAAGUAAAAGCUUUGAAAAACCAGACAGCAAAGUCAUAAGUUGAUGGUCCAACAAUUGCCUUGAAAUGCUAUACUAAGUAAUGUUGAUUUCAAUUUAAAUUUUAGCAACUUAUAGUGUAUCUGUAAAAGAGUUUUUUUGUCAUUUUUUAUAAAUAUAUCCAGCUAAGAAAUAGUAUGAUUGUUUUGAAAGUGUUCUGUAAUCCUACAUGUAAGCUGAGUUUCUUAUAAACACUAAACUGUAUACAGUGGUACUUUUAACAUAAUUAGUGUUCAGACAAGAUUGCCUCAGUAAUUUAAAUCAAUCUUAUCAAAGAGAAUCUUACAAGGUAAUUUUAACCUGAUUGCAUUUUUGUAAAUUUGUGUUUAAACACUAAAUAGUAGAAUAAUGUGAGCCAAAAACAUCCAGUUUGGUACUGUUCUUUCCGCUUGUGUGCGACAAGUCAAAUAAUGCUGUAGGUAGAUCUGAGAUCAGUAAAUGUUUGAAAAUCCAUAGCUGGUGAUUGAGUAUUUGUACUGUAUCAGAAAAGUUCACUUCAAUACCUGAAUGAAACUGCUUGUCUAUGCCUAAUCAGAGUCAGAUUCGGAAUCCUCAUCUACAUUUAAGUGGAGACCAUGAUUCACAGCUGCCAUGUUAACAUAUGAAGCCUCAUGUAAAAAGCGGGAAGCAGUUAUUUGCCCAUUCUCUAGAAGUCCUGUCAAUCUUUGGAUUCUUUUAUCAUUUAGUUUUGCACGCCACCUUUUUCCAGCAGUCACAGAGUCUCCUCUGUCAAUAGCAGUUUUGUCAGCAAAAGCUAAAUGCUCUAACUGCACAAAGGCACCUGAAAAAGAAUGUACCAUUUUUUCAGUAGGAGAUAAAAUUUAUGACUAUGAUGAAAUUCAGUUUGUCAAUGUAAAGGAAACAGCAAGGGAUAUCUAGGACUUUAGAUGUAGAGGCUGCAUCAUAUUUAGUUGAUUUCAGUCAGAAGAACAUGAAACAUGUCGUUAAGCAGAAACCUGAUCCUUAUACAAUUCGUAUUGUUGUCCUCCCCAACAAAGUUAUCUUCCCAAUUUUAUCAAUAAUUAAUACCAAUAUUAACAUACCGAUUAGAUGCCAUACAUUAGGUCUGUUCUGUGGUAUGAGCGAAGCCAGGCUUCUGUUGUCUGAUUCAGAAACGUUAUUGGUCCUUUCUGGUGAAUCAAAAACAGACAGCUCAUGCAGGCGUGGUAUCCAUUCCUUUUCCAAAUAUUGGAAAAGUGGCAGAAGUGUGUCAGCCCAGCUCAACCUCCACCUCAACCCAAAGUUCUAGAACACCAGCCCAAAUUCUGUGUCGUGGUAGGAGUGGGAUGCCAGCAAUGCACCUGAUGAAGGUUUUGACUUCAUCAUGAGCUUCAGCAAAAGGCGUUAAGCCUAGCUUAGAUGCAUGUAAGGAAGAUGCCUGGGAAUAUGAAGACAAUAAUACAUAAGUAUGUAAUCUAUCGUGAUAAGUUUCAGCACUGGUAACAUAUAGAUUUCACCAGAAGACAGUUUUGAGAUUGACGUUCAUUUCUGUUUGAGUCAAUUUGUGUUCUCCUACAUUCUACUUUCCUUUCAUCGGUUUCUUAAUAAUAAUCAAGCCAUUUGCAAUUGCCAGAAGAUUAUUUUUUUCAUUUUUUUGAAACAAAUAAAUGAAAAAAGAUAUCCAAAAAAUUGCCAAUACAAAAGAAAUGCAAAGCAAAACACUGAAAGGAAGAGGGACAGCUGAACUAGGCUUAUCAUAAUACUCACAACACCAUAGUGCCACAGACAGCCCACUAUGCGGCUCAUGGGCACAACUCUUUUGAAGGCGUUCAUUUGUGCUCUCUCAAAAUCACAGUGCACUCUCUUUGGUGCCCAAUUGGAAGCGAGUGACUUAAGAUAACUAAGUACAGCAACAUAGGCUUCUUCGUGGCGUCUAAUCAUGAGUACUCUGACUACUGCUACAACCUAUAAAAAAAGGACAAAAAAAUAACUUACGUAGAAAAAUACAAGCACUUACACACUGGUACUCCAAAACAAAACAAAUCGUGGCUUCUAAAUAAGCUGACUACAAAAAAACCUUACAUAUCCACCAUGAUUUGUGCACAAAUUGAAAAUUUGUGACAUCUUUGGCUUGCGUGACCGCUUUUUAAAGGUGCCGUGACCACGGAUGUUCGUGACUGUUCCCAAGAACUGUAGCAUACGCCGAAAGCUAUUGUCUUGUUUAGUAAAUCGCCCACUACACCUUGGAAGAUGAAGUCUGUUUUGUCUACAGUUUCACAAAGCCUUCGUAGGUUUGGCAUGCCCAGUAAAACACCUAAGUGAAUCAAAGUCUUCGGAAUGCAUGGAUUGUUUCUUGACCUAGCCACAUCCAUGGCCGAGUGCAUCCUAACUGGUCAAAAUCUGUUAGCUACAGCAGGGCUUUGCCUGCCAAACAGAAAUAAAUAAUCAGGUAAGAGUAUAGAGAUAAAUUAAUAAAUUAAAUAUAGGAGAGCUGUGGCAUGAAUAGAACCUUACUGCAAUUUGAUUUGGUUCAGAAUGGUUCUUAGUUUGGUACCAAAAGAAUCUGUUGAUACUGUAUGUAUUGUGAGCCGUCGAAGAUCCAUGUCCUGCUCAAGAAGCGGAUCUGGAGGAUGGUCGUGCGGUUUCAGAUGUACCAGAGUUGCUGAGGCAAGGUUCAGAGAAGCAGUAGCUGUGCAUCCACGAUGAUGGUGCCGACACUGAAGCCGCAGCCUAGACUUUCGUCUUUCGUGGACGUUGUAGUGCCAGCCAUCACUUGAAUGAAGUAUGACAGAAUCUAUCGAUCUGCCUCGAAAGAAGCGGACUGGUAGUGCAGCCAUUUCUAAAAUUAUGGCGUCCUAAUAUUACAAAGAAAUGUCACAAAGUAAGGCUAGUGGCUGCUAACGUGGGAAGAAGAGAUGCGCCAUGCGCCGUGCGACUAGUCUUGCAGGGUGCAUGGUUAAGGUAACACACGGCGCAUGGCUCAUUGUGGGGGUAGCUUUUGGCACCCCAAAAAUUUGUUUCAUAAAGGUACUCACAUCAGUCAAAGCAAAAUAGUAAUUCUCCCCGAAUAUCGAAAGAACAGAGACGCUCUUCCGCUCUUCCGCUCGACCCAGAAACCAGUGCCUGUCCACUCCGACUUUCGGGGUGUUGUCUCUGGUGCGAAAGAGACGCAGAUAGAACCCCGAAACGUUAAGAAGGCGAGAGUCAGGAGGGGGAUCACGGAGCUCCUCUGCGCCUUCUAAAAAAACAGGGUGAGGGGGGUAGAGGGGGGCAAUUAGAAGGCGCUUCCGGGGAGCUCCGGAAUACCCCUCCAGCAGGCCCUGAUCCCAACCCAAAGAAGAAGAACCUGACGGAGAAGUCCGGUAUGAGAAUGACACACGAACGCAACCCGACGCGUGACGCAGGCGUGUUCAGGUUCCGGUCAGGAGCUCCGCCCAAUCACCUCAGCCCAAGGUUUUUUUCCUGCCCGUAGAGUUGGGGGAGUUGAGGUCGGUUGGGUGGAGCCUCAAGACGUUGAUGCCAAAAGAUAUUACAAUAGAAAGAAAAGAACCCUAUAGUAGUCAGUCGUUUGCUGUUCUUCGAUGGAAGAAAAAUUCAACAAUGUAAGUUCCGCUACAUUCUUUUAUUUGAUGUUUAAGUAAUUCAGAAAAGUUCAUAUCGCCAAAUCAGAUUUUGCCUACAUUUUGACAGGUUAUUUGCACGUGUUGCAAGUGCACGUGUUGCAAGUGCACGUGCUGUUUGGAGUGGCUGUGGUGCCAAUGUAUCUGUUGCGAGUUACGACGUAGUAAUAAUGCAACUGAGCAAAAAAAGUGUUAUUGUAAGUGUGACUGCCACUGCUGCACAUUUUACAAGAACAAUAACUGUCCAUGUGGAUGUUGUAAAGCGAGACCGAAAUCAGGUCGAUCACAUUCCGGUCGAGUCGCGGUUCCGGCGCCCCGUCUAAACCGUCUAGACGUGGCGUCAUUCCUCUGUUCUCGCCGUUUCCGCUGUUGCCAAAUUUCUACUUCCCCCACUCUUUUCCACCUUUCACGUGACCCCUGGCCGCAUGGAAAGGCUCGCGCCUGCAGCCAAAAAGCUGUCCAGCUGGCCGGCUGUCAAAUCGGGCUCGCUCUCACUCCUUCUCAUCUGCUUGAAGACACCAUUUCAACAAGCG